rfam:Arthrobacter sp. PAMC25486, complete genome.
AAAAUGGCCCCUUUCGGGGCCAUUCCUACAACCAAAAUCCCUGUA